rnacentral:rRNA from 1 species
GACGUAGGGGGCGAGCGUUGUCCGGAUUCACUGGGCGUAAAGCGCGUGCAGGCGGCCUGUUAAGUCCCGUGUGAAAGCCCUCGGCUCAACCGGGGGAGGUCGCGGGAUACUGGCGGGCUUGAGGGUGGGAGAGGGUGGUGGAAUUCCCGGUGUAACGGUGAAAUGUGUAGAUAUCGGGAGGAACGCCAGUGGCGAAGGCGGCCACCUGGGCCAUCCCUGACGCUGAGACGCGAAAGCUGGGGGAGCAAACGGGAUUAGAAA